rnacentral:rRNA from 1 species
UACGGAGGGUGCGAGCGUUGUCCGGAAUCAUUGGGCGUAAAGGGCGCGUAGGUGGCCCCUCAAGCGUGCGGUGAAAGUCAGGGGCUCAACCCCUGAUCGGCCGUGCGAACUGGGGAGCUUGAGCACUGUAGAGGCAGGCGGAAUUCCGGGUGUAGCGGUGGAAUGCGUAGAUAUCGGAAGGAACACCUGUGGCGAAAGCGGCUCACUGGACCAUUACUGACGCUGAUGCACGAAAGCUAGGGGAGCAAACAGG